CUUCAUCCAUGUGCUAGUUCAGCCUGUGAGAUGCUGGUGAGCCCACCUCCAGGCACUCACGGACUCCCCACCCAUUGAGUGUGGCCUGGAUUUAGUGACUCAAUCAAACGUGACAGAGUGCUGGGGUGUCAUUUUCAAGACUGGGUUAUGUGAAGACUGCAGCCUCCAUCUGGGGUGCUCUCUCUUGGAUUGCUUGCUCAGGGAUGUGGGGAGAGCUGCUGUGCUGGGAGGCUGCCCAUGUGAGUUGACUUGGAUGUGAACCUUCUGUGGCCUGCCAAUAGCCACGUGUUUGUGUGGACACUGCUGUCAUUUCUCUUGGGAAGAUACUGAGGAGUCAGAUUGCUGGAUCCCGUGAAGAAUGUGCACCUGGGAUUGGCUCUUGCUUCCUAAGGAACCUCAAAAAAGCUGCAACCUAUUGGAGACUUUUGAUUCAGCAUCAAGGAUAUGCGUGAGACUUUGGUUCUUUUCUGUUGGGACACAGUUGAUUCUGACUGUCUUAAAGUUAGGCUUUUCUAAAGAUUUAGACUAAUAAAUUAUUUGAAUGGGA
rnacentral:lncRNA from 10 species